ensembl:lncRNA
GCAUGUUGCCCUUUAUGAGAAUGCAGUCUUCAGAUUAUCUGUACAAGGAACAAGCAUUUGACACGUCAAAGUUGAGGAAUGGAGAUACCCACUCUUCCCCUACGUUGAGUUCCGCUAUCGUAUUGCUUAUCUCUAAAGCAAAUUAACUACAAAAUGCUUCUAAGAUCAUCUCUGUUUCAACCCACGGGUUCUUUUUGUUAAAGAAGGGAGGAAAAAAGAGAAAAAAAGGGUACUUCAGAUUUUCCCCUCCCUUUUAUUUCUCAAAGAGAAAGGGACUGAAAAGAAAAGGUUUAGUAUCUUUAUACCAUGAAGAAAAUACACCGUGACUGUUUACGAGAAGCAGGAGGAGAGAAGGGGACUGUCUAAAUGCAAAGAAAUUGAUGCUCUGCCAUCUGUUCCCAUGCAUGGUCACCAGACUGCUCUGCUGUAUUAGAGGCAGCUGCUCCCUCUUCCAAGACUUAAUGUGAGAUACAGAAAAGAGAAUAUCCACGCUCUUACUCUGACCGUGCCUGCAAAGGAUCACAGUAAGAACCUUUAUGGUAACCAACUAUUUGUGCUAUCACCCCCGAUAUAAUUCCUCUCAAUGUUCUCUGCUGCCUCUUGUGACAGUGGCAAGCUGUAUUUUCCUUUCAGGAGCAAAUGCCAGUGAAUUAACACUAUCAUACUCUAUUCAGUAGUCUUCGCUUUGCAUGCAUUACUCUCACUGUGCUUUAUGUCACAGAUGAUUCAGCAGUUUCAUCCUAAGUUCAGGAAUAAACAAAGAUUACUUGUGGGGCUGCUUGAAGUAAGGAAGCGAACAAAAGCCUUGUUUGUUAAAAGGGAAUAUAAAUAACAGACUGGCUGUUAUAUGAAAGGAAGCGAGACCAAUGAGGGAUACAAAACUCAGGACAGCAGCUGCUGGAGUAUGAACUGGGACUAAGGUUUGCCUUUGCCAUCUGCAGAGUGCAUUUCCUCAGCGUAUGAACUGGGUCUUUUCUUUGCCAACAUCACGGUGUCCAAAGUGUAAACACACCUUUUUUUGUUUCUCUGUGUUUUGAAAGCAUUUAAAGUAAGUUCACCUCAUGCUAUUCAUUUAAAAGUCCUUGCCUCCAUCACUGCCUACCAGCUUGCUUUUUUCUUUGUUUCUCAUAGCUCAAUUUAAGUUUCCUCCAGGAGUAACCAGAUUCAUAGGAACAAUAAGCCAAGACUUGACUGGGAUAUUUUAUUUUAUUAUUUCUGUUCUUAAUUAUCUUUUGUUUCUCUAAGAAAACCAGAUGAGGUAGUACUUUUUAAAUGAAAGCAGUUUCAGCUGAUGUUGCCCAAAGAAAAGACAGCUUCACAAACAACGUGCCAGGGGAAGCAAGAAAAUACCACUGGUAGUCAGGAACCUAAAUCUCAAAGAGUCCUCAGCACAGAACCGGGCCCAGCCUUGCAUUCAGACCUAAGAAGUGGCAGAAUAGAUUUCCUGUGGCCUGGAGAGGACUGCAUAGAGUUGAGAGCAACUGAGGAGUCUUACAAACAAGCAUUGGAGCAAGGAGAUAGUGGGAAUUUUUUUUUUUUAAUCCUGUCUUACCUCACUGCUUCAAGUGUUCCAUAUCUAAAAAAAAUAAAAAUAAAAAUAAAAAUAAAAAUAAAAAUAAAAAUAAAAAUAAAAAUAAAAAUAAAUGUGGUUUUCAUUAUAUUAAGCUUAGCAAUGAGUUGUUUGUUCUAAAAAUAUUUUGUGGGGUGUUCUCUAUAUGAGGAGGCCAUGGCAGAUUCACCUCAAUGCUUUAAACAUCUCAGCCCAUCACAUGCUUCCGUCUCUGCCACAGAAAGGAAUUGUUUGUAGAAGCAUAGACCUAUGACAACAAUUAAUGUUAAACCUAGUCCCAUUUUCAGACCAUAAGAAGACAAGUUUUGGUGAAUUCAAAAGAUAAACGGGCUUUGCUUAUUAUGCAAACCUUGCAAAUACAUGUAGACACAGAUUGUCACUCUGUUGAAUGCGCUAAACAACAUGAAGAAUAAAUCAAUCUAUUU